rnacentral:tRNA from 1 species
AAGGCCUUAAGUUAAAAUAAACUAAUAACCUUCAAAGCUAUAAAUAAAGGGCUAACACUAACCUUUAGGCCUUG